rnacentral:rRNA from 1 species
GAACCUUCGGGGAACGAUAACGGCGUCGAGCGGCGGACGGGUGAGUAAUGCCUGGGAAAUUGCCCUGAUGUGGGGGAUAACCAUUGGAAACGAUGGCUAAUACCGCAUAAUAGCUUCGGCUCAAAGAGGGGGACCUUCGGGCCUCUCGCGUCAGGAUAUGCCCAGGUGGGAUUAGCUAGUUGGUGAGGUAAUGGCUCACCAAGGCGACGAUCCCUAGCUGGUCUGAGAGGAUGAUCAGCCACACUGGAACUGAGACACGGUCCAGACUCCUACGGGAGGCAGCAGUGGGGAAUAUUGCACAAUGGGCGCAAGCCUGAUGCAGCCAUGCCGCGUGUAUGAAGAAGGCCUUCGGGUUGUAAAGUACUUUCAGCAGUGAGGAAGGUGGAUGUGUUAAUAGCGCAUUCAUUUGACGUUAGCUGCAGAAGAAGCACCGGCUAACUCCGUGCCAGCAGCCGCGGUAAUACGGAGGGUGCGAGCGUUAAUCGGAAUUACUGGGCGUAAAGCGCAUGCAGGUGGUUUGUUAAGUCAGAUGUGAAAGCCCGGGGCUCAACCUCGGAAUAGCAUUUGAAACUGGCAGACUAGAGUACUGUAGAGGGGGGUAGAAUUUCAGGUGUAGCGGUGAAAUGCGUAGAGAUCUGAAGGAAUACCGGUGGCGAAGGCGGCCCCCUGGACAGAUACUGACACUCAGAUGCGAAAGCGUGGGGAGCAAACAGGAUUAGAUACCCUGGUAGUCCACGCCGUAAACGAUGUCUACUUGGAGGUUGUGGCCUUGAGCCGUGGCUUUCGGAGCUAACGCGUUAAGUAGACCGCCUGGGGAGUACGGUCGCAAGAUUAAAACUCAAAUGAAUUGACGGGGGCCCGCACAAGCGGUGGAGCAUGUGGUUUAAUUCGAUGCAACGCGAAGAACCUUACCUACUCUUGACAUCCAUAGAACUUUCCAGAGAUGGAAUUGGUGCCUUUCGGGAACUAUGAGACAGGUGCUGCAUGGCUGUCGUCAGCUCGUGUUGGUGGAAAUGUUGGGUUAAGUCCCGCAACGAGCGGCAACCCCUUAAUCGUGUUUGGCCAGCGGAGUAAUGUUCGGGAACUCCAGGGAGAACUGGGCCGGGUGAUUAACCUGGAGGGAAGGGUUGGAGGAACAGGGCACGUUCAAGGUUCUACUCACAUUGGCCCCCCUCUUU